UACGUGAAACCGUUCAGGGGUAAACCUGAGAAACCCGAAAGGUCGAAGGGGGACAUUCAACCGCGCUCGGUCGGCGGCGAGAGGCGGUCGCGCGACGGUGAUCCCUCCGGGGUGAUCCGCGCCGGCCGCCGACGUCCGUCUCCGAACACGUGCACUUGUCCCCUUGUAGGACGUCGCGACCCGUUGGGUGCCGGUCUACGGCCCUCGGUGGAGCCCGUGCGGAGCCUCGCGCUCCGUCCGGACCCGAGGUGUCCCGGCCGGCUCGCCCGACGGUAUACCGAUGGCGCGGGGCCGCGGCUCGAACGCGUCCGACCCUCCGCAAGUGCGGACGGUAACCCGGCGGUCGGACCUGGUCCGGCUCCGGGCCCGCCCGGCUGCUGGCGGAGGCGCUCUCGGACAGACUCCGUGCACGCCCGUCGGCGACGCUAUAGCUUUGGGUACUUUCAGGACCCGUCUUGAAACACGGACCAAGGAGUCUAGCAUGUGCGCGAGUCAUUGGGAUUGACUAAACCUAAAGGCGCAAUGAAAGUGAAGGCCCGCCUCGCGCGGGCCGAGGGAGGAUGGGCCGGAGCACGAUCCGGCCCCGCACUCCCGGGGCGUCUCGCUCUCAUCGCGAGGAGAGGCGCACCCAGAGCGUACACGCUGGGACCCGAAAGAUGGUGAACUAUGCCUGGUCAGGACGAAGUCAGGGGAAACCCUGAUGGAGGUCCGUAGCGAUUCUGACGUGCAAAUCGAUCGUCGGAACUGGGUAUAGGGGCGAAAGACUAAUCGAACCAUC
rnacentral:rRNA from 2 species